GCAAAGGUGUCCCGGUUCGAUCCCGAGCAUGCCGUGUGAUCUAGAAUGAGCGUAAGUCAGAAGCACUAAUAGGUUGGACAGGACCGGGGGGCAGUACCCCGCAGCUCCACCAAAACCACACCGUGAAGACCUUCCGUGAUUGGAGGGAGCGCAACUUCUCAGGGGAGUCUCGUCCAUAACGAGGCACGGUGUGGUCUUGAUGGGGCUGAAAUAGGAUCGACUGUCGAUUGAAAACUGCUUGUGCGCUUCGGCAUGAUACCGCCGUCAUCGGGUCAAAACUCUAAGUGCAAACGACAACGCACCCUUCGCCGAAAUGCGCCUCGCAGCGUAGUUCGACAUGAGCUGACGACUUGGAAACAGAACCGUCCGCCU
rnacentral:tmRNA from 1 species